UACAGAGGUCUCAAGCGUUGUUCGGAUUCAUUGGGCGUAAAGGGUUCGUAGGCGGUGCGGCAAGUUGGGAGUGAAAUCUCUGGGCUUAACCCAGAGGCUGCUUCCAAAACUGCUGUGCUUGAGUGUGGGAGAGGCGCGUGGAAUUGCAGGUGCAGCGGUGAAAUGCGUAGAUAUCUGCAGGAACACCCGUGGCGAAAGCGGCGCGCUGGACCACUACUGACGCUGAGGAACGAAAGCUAGGGGAGCAAACAGG
rnacentral:rRNA from 1 species